CUCCUCUCUCUGUCUGAGGAGAACAGAAAGGUGACAGGUUGGAGAGAGAAGCAGCCGUAUCCUGAUCACCCAGAGAGAUUUGAGGACUGUGGACAGGUGCUGUGUAGAGAGGGUCUGUCUGGGCGCUGUUACUGGGAGGUAGAGUGGAGUGGGGGAUGGGCUGAUAUAGGAGUGACAUAUAAAGGAAUCAGCAGGAGAAGAAGGGGUGAUGACUGUUGGCUUGGAUACAAUGACAAGUCCUGGAGUCUGUUCUGUUCUGACAACAGUUACAUAGCCAGGCACAAUAAUAAUGACACUACCAUAGACGUCCCCUCCUCCAGCUCCCACAGAGUAGGAGUGUAUCUGGACUGGCCAGCCGGCACUCUGUCCUUCUAUAGAGCCUCCUCUGACACACUGACCCACCUGAUCACAUUCACAUCCACAUUCACUGAGCCCCUCUAUCCAGGGUUUGGGGUUAAUUAUGAUGGCGACUCAGUGUCCCUGAAAUUAUAACCUGACACACACACACACACACACACACACUGCACACAUACACUGGACACACACACACACACUGGACACACACACACUGGACACACACACACAUACGCGUCUUCCUAUAAUUGUGAGGACUUUGACCAGGACCUUCAAAUGAGGACCAUCAUUUCUGAUAGAACUGGGAACAAACAGACACCUCAUUCCAGCACUAAGUGGUCCCACAAACACAGAGGUGAAAAUACUACAGGAAUAUUCUGCAAAUGUUGAUGAAGAUGUCACUCAAUCCACCCAAAACAACAUGCAGUCUUUCCACAAGACUCCCAUGAAGUUAUAGUGACGUUAUGAGUUGACGUUAAAGUAACAUUCUCAGAACAUACUGCACUUGUUUUAUCAUGUUUUAGAUGUAUCCUCUGUUUAAACAUGUAAACUCUUACAAUAACACUGUUAAAAUACCAAUGUGAUCAUUUGUUAUAUGUCUUUUAUGUUGAAAAACAGAUUGUACAAUUAUAUAUGGACAUACGCUCCAUAGUUAUACAAGUAUACAAGGAUAUAUUGUACUUUCAUAAUAAAACAGACUUGAAACAAGAAAACUAUGUUAA